rnacentral:rRNA from 1 species
ACACCGGCGGCCCGAGUGGUGAUCGUGAUUAUUGGGUCUAAAGGGUCCGUAGCCGGUUUGGUCAGUCCUCCGGGAAAUCUGAUAGCUCAACUAUUAGGCUUUCGGGGGAUACUGCCAGACUUGGAACCGGGAGAGGUAAGAGGUACUACAGGGGUAGGAGUGAAAUCUUGUAAUCCCUGUGGGACCACCUGUGGCGAAGGCGUCUUACCAGAGCGGGUUCGCCGGUGAGGGACGAAAGCUGGGGGCACGAACCGGUUUAGAUGCCCGGGUAGUCCCAGCCGUAAACGAUGCUCGCUAGGUGUCAGGCAUGGCGCGACCGUGUCUGGUGCCGCAGGGAAGCCGUGAAGCGAGCCGCCUGGGAAGUACGGCCGCAAGGCUGAAACUUAAAGGAAUUGGCGGG